UACAGAGGGUGCGAGCGUUAAUCGGAAUUACUGGGCGUAAAGCGCGCGUAGGCGGCUUUGCAAGCCGGAUGUGAAAUCCCCGGGCUUAACCUGGGAACUGCAUUCGGGACUGCAUUGCUAGAGUAUGGGAGAGGGAAGUGGAAUUUCAGGUGUAGCGGUGAAAUGCGUAGAUAUCUGAAGGAACAUCAGUGGCGAAAGCGACUCCCUGGACCAAUACUGACGCUCAUGUGCGAAAGCGUGGGGAGCAAACAGG
rnacentral:rRNA from 1 species